rnacentral:rRNA from 1 species
GACGAACGCUGGCGGCGCGCCUAACACAUGCAAGUCGAACGGUGAAGAGGAGCUUGCUCCUCGGAUCAGUGGCGGACGGGUGAGUAACACGUGAGCAACCUGGCUUUCAGUGGGGGACAACAGUUGGAACGACUGCUAAUACCGCAUAAAGCUUAAUGGGGGCAUCCCUGAUAAGCCAAAGAUUUAUUGCUGAAAGAUGGACUCGCGUCUGAUUAGCUAGAUGGCGGGGUAACGGCCCACCAUGGCGACGAUCAGUAGCCGGACUGAGAGGUUGAACGGCCACAUUGGGACUGAGAUACGGCCCAGACUCCUACGGGAGGCAGCAGUGGGGAAUAUUGGGCAAUGGGCGAAAGCCUGACCCAGCAACGCCGCGUGAAGGAAGAA